CAGAGAUAUGAAAGGCUUUCUAAUUAUUACUAUCUGCUUGGUCGCCUCCACAUCUCUUAUCUCCUAUGCUUACAAUGCUUAUGUGGUUACAAAUAAACUAGUUGUAGAAAAUAUAAGCAAAGAAGAAGAAGAAACAAAGAUAUCCCACAUUCUCUUUGGCAUCGCAGGGUCCGCUAAAACAUGGACCAAUCGCUCGCGUUACUCUGAGCUCUGGUGGAGACCAAAUGUAACGCGAGGGUUCGUGUGGCUCGAUGAAAAGUCCCAGGAAAACGAGCCAUGGCCCGAAACUUCCCCACCCUAUAGGGUCUCCGAAGAUACUUCCAACUUCGAGUACACGUGUUGGUUUGGUAACAGGACAGCAGUGAGGAUUGCGCGGAUUGUAAAAGAGAGUUUUGAACUAGGUUUAAAGAAUGUGAGAUGGUUUGUAAUGGGAGAUGAUGAUACAGUAUUUUUUCCUGAGAAUUUGGUGACGGUUUUGGCUAAAUAUGAUCAUAACCAAAUGUAUUACAUUGGUGGGAAUUCUGAAAGUGUGGAGCAGAACGUAAUAUGUUCCUACACUAUGGCUUACGGCGGCGGCGGAAUUGCUAUUAGUUAUCCUCUGGCGGCGGAACUCGUCAAGAUUUUGGAUGGUUGCAUUAAUCGCUACCAUUACUUGUGCAAUUCUGAUCAGAGGAUUGGUGGUUGUAUGGCUGAGAUUGGAGUUCCUCUCACGAAUGAACAUGGUUUUCAUCAGAUGGAUAUAAAUGGAAGCGCCCGAGGGCUUUUGGCAGCACAUCCGGUGGCGCCGCUAGUAUCACUGCACCAUUUGGACAUGCUCUACCCUCUAAUUCCAUCAAUGAGCCGAGUUGAGUCAGUGAAGAAGGUAAUUGAAGCUUAUAACAAGGAUCCAAGUCGGACAAUGCAACAUAGUUUGUGUUACGACCUAAAGAGAAAUUGAUCAGUAUCAGUGUCAUGGGGUUAUACAGUUCAAUUAUAUCCAUGGCUAAUGAAUGUCAAGGAAUUGGAGACUCCAAUACGAACGUUCAAGACUUGGAUAGGGUCAAAAGAGCCAUUCACAUUCAAUACACGGCCAAACUAUGUAGAACAGUGUAAGAGGCCUAUAGAGUAUUACUUGGAUCAAGUUGUUGACCUUCCCAAUGGUGAAACCUUGAUCAGUUAUAGUACCAUAAUUGGUGAAUCAAAUGAACAAUGCGAGGACCAACAUUAUAAACCAGCUUUAGCAGUUCAUAUGGUUAAUGUCACCGCGCCAAUGCUAUCUCCCAAAGUAUGGAGAAAGGCACCACGACGGCAAUGUUGCGAGGUAAUCAAUGAUAUUGGGAGCGUCUUACAUAUCAAAAUUAGAGGUUGCAAUCAGUGGGAAUCAGUAACGCCGCCCUUUCACGACAAGUAUGGAGACUUUGCCUAUUUUCAAAGAAAGAUUCACCCAGUGAUGAAUAGGUCAAGAAAUUUAGAAUUGGUACUUGAGAGAUCAGCAAAUUUAGAUCCCUAGAUGUUAAUGAAUUAUACAGAAAUGUCUGCUCCUCGAUUCCCUCUGUUUUGACCUAUUAUUAUCGUUUGCAAGCUAUGUUACUUGGACUUUCCUAAAAUAUCGAUGGGUGCGCAUCGAAUCCUCUAAAAGUAGGUAUA